rnacentral:rRNA from 1 species
AGACCUAGCAAUAGGUAUGCUUAGGGAAGAGCUUGCGUCACAUUAGUUAGUUGGUGGGGUAAUGGCCUACCAAGACGAUGAUGUGUAGCCGGGCUGAGAGGUCGAACGGCCACAUUGGGACUGAGACACGGCCCAAACUCCUACGGGAGGCAGCAGUAAGGAAUUUUCGGCAAUGGAGGAAACUCUGACCGAGCAAUGCCGCGUGAACGAUGAAGUAUUUCGGUACGUAAAGUUCUUUUAUUAGGGAAGAAAAGAUGGUGGAAAAACCAUUAUGACGGUACCUAAUGAAUAAGCCCCGGCUAACUAUGUGCCAGCAGCCGCGGUAAUACAUAGGGGGCAAGCGUUAUCCGGAAUUAUUGGGCGUAAAGGGUGCGUAGGCGGUUAAAUAAGUUUAUGGUCUAAGUGCAACGUCAACGUUGUGAUGCUAUAAAAACUGUUUAGCUAGAGUUGGAUAGAGGCAAGUGGAAUUCCGUGUGUAGUGGUAAAAUGCGUAAAUAUACGGAGGAACACCAGAAGCGAAGGCGGCUUGCUGGGUCUUAACUGACGCUGAGGCACGAAAGCGUGGGGAGCAAACAGGAUUAGAUACCCUGGUAGUCCACGCCCUAAACGAUGAGUACUAAACGUUGGAUAAAACCAGUGUUGAAGUUAACACAUUAAGUACUCCGCCUGAGUAGUACGUACGCAAGUAUGAAACUUAAAGGAAUUGACGGGACUCCGCACAAGCGGUGGAUCAUGUUGUUUAAUUCGAAGGUACCCGAAAAACCUCACCAGGUCUUGACAUGCUUUUGCAAAGCUGUAGAAAUACAGUGGAGGUUAUCAGAAGCACAGGUGGUGCAUGGUUGUCGUCAGCUCGUGUCGUGAGAUGUUGGGUUAAG